rnacentral:rRNA from 1 species
GACGAACGCUGGCGGCGUGCCUAAUACAUGCAAGUCGAGCGAAGUUUUUCUGGUGCUUGCACUAGAAAAACUUAGCGGCGAACGGGUGAGUAACACGUAAAGAACCUGCCUCAUAGACUGGGACAACUAUUGGAAACGAUAGCUAAUACCGGAUAACAGCAUUAACUGCAUGGUUAAUGUUUGAAAGUUGGUUUUGCUAACACUAUGAGAUGGCUUUGCGGUGCAUUAGCUAGUUGGUGGGGUAAAGGCCUACCAAGGCGACGAUGCAUAGCCGACCUGAGAGGGUGAUCGGCCACACUGGGACUGAGACACGGCCCAGACUCCUACGGGAGGCAGCAGUAGGGAAUCUUCCGCAAUGGGCGAAAGCCUGACGGAGCAACGCCGCGUGAGUGAAGAAGGAUUUCGGUUCGUAAAGCUCUGUUGUUAGGGAAGAAUGAUUAUGUAGUAACUAUACAUAGUAGAGACGGUACCUAACCAGAAAGCCACGGCUAACUACGUGCCAGCAGCCGCGGUAAUACGUAGGUGGCAAGCGUUGUCCGGAAUUAUUGGGCGUAAAGCGCGCGCAGGUGGUUUAAUAAGUCUGAUGUGAAAGCCCACGGCUCAACCGUGGAGGGUCAUUGGAAACUGUUAAACUUGAGUGCAGGAGAGAAAAGUGGAAUUCCUAGUGUAGCGGUGAAAUGCGUAGAGAUUAGGAGGAACACCAGUGGCGAAGGCGGCUUUUUGGCCUGUAACUGACACUGAGGCGCGAAAGCGUGGGAGCAAACAGG